rnacentral:rRNA from 1 species
UCCCUUAGAUGUUCUGGGCCGCACGCGCGCUACACUGACGAUGUCAACGAGUCUCUCCUUGGCCGAAAGGUCUGGGUAAUCUUCUGAAACAUCGUCGUGCUGGGGAUAGAUCAUUGCAAUUUUUGAUCUUGAACGAGGAAUUCCUAGUAAGCGCGAGUCAUCAGCUCGCGUUGAUUACGUCCCUGCCCUUUGUACACACCGCCCGUCGCUACUACCGAUUGAAUGGUUUAGUGAGGACUCCUGAUUGGCGCCGCCGCCCCGGCAACGGAGCAGUGGACUGCCGAAAAGUUGUUCAAACUUGAUCAUUUAGAGGAAGUAAAAGUCGUAACA